rnacentral:rRNA from 1 species
GAUGAACGCUGGCGGCGUGCCUAAUACAUGCAAGUCGAGCGAACAGACGAGGAGCUUGUUCCUCGGACGUUAGGGGAGGACGGGUGAGUAACACGUGGAUAAUCUACCUAUAAGACUGGUAAAAUUUGGGGAAACCGGAGCUUAUACCGGAGAAGAUAUUGAAGCGCAUGGGUCAAUGGUGAAAGACGGUUUUUCUGGAACUUAUAGAUGGAUCCGCGCCGCAUUAGCUAGUUGGUAAGGUAACGGCUUACCAAGGCAAGGAUGCGUAACCGAACGGAGAGGCUGAUAGGCCACCUUGGAACGUAGCCGGGGUCCAGGCUCCUGCGGGACGCAGCAGUAGGGAAUCUGACGCAGUGGGCGGAAGUCUGACGGAACAGCGCCGAGCGAGUGAUGACGAUCUUCGGAUCGUAAUAACCGGUUAUGAGGGAAGAACCACUGUCUACGUAACUAUACACUUCUUGACGGUACCUGAUCAGAAAGCCACGGCUAACUACGUG